CGGCGGCCGCCAUGAUGAGGAGGUCGGCGCUGCUUCAGCGGGGCUGGCCCGGAGGGGGCUCUGGGCGAGGGUCUCUCCCCGCCCCCGCGGCCUCCUAGAGCCCACGUUUAGCUUGACAGGGUUGGAUGGGGCCGGAACCAUGAAGGCAACUGGAUUAGUCAAGUGUGGACUCUUGGGAGAGUGGCGCAGGCAGCCCAAGAUGGUUGCUAAUCUGAAAAUAGUAACAUUUCUCGCCCCUCAGCCCCGAGAAUUAUAGCACCUCCUGAACAAGCCUCGACAAUCGGGAACGGGCUUCCCCGCAUUUUCCUCAGCCUUGACAGUCGCACCUUCACCCUUUCUUCGGAAUGACCUUUGUUUCCCGAUUUCAAACCCUGCCCAGCACUUCUCAGACCAUGAAUCCUCCACAAUCCAGAAGCUGCCAGAGGGCAGGGAUUUCAUCUUGUUCAUGAUUGUAUACUAGCACCUCACGCAAUGCUUGGCUCAUAGUAGACCUUCAAUAAACAUAUAAUGAGAGACCUCUGUGUCCACCCUCCUCAGACAUGCAAGUUAUUUUCUUAAGACAAAUGAGCCUGUGAACCCCAGUUGCUCUAUCCAAAAGGCUCUUCAUUCUGGAUAACCAAAGAUUCUAGAAUCAGUCUCAGGGAAAAAAGCAGAAAAAUCUACCCUAAGAGAUUAAAAGAACUGGAUUCCAAUGAAGUGACAGUGAUCAGCUUCACGUGGAAGUCAGAAACUAUAGACAGCAUAAUGUCAGAAGACAACUCCAUAAGGAAGUCUCCAGGCCCAGGGGCUACAGCCCCACCUAUGAUGGAUUGGACAGCCCCAGCCUUUGGGCAAAGAAGCUGCAGAUUUGUCUUUCUGUCCAAUUUCUCUGGUGAGGGUGGCUUUUCGUGCCACUAGGAAGUAAAGUUCCAAGACUCAUGUUUGGGCAUCAAGUGGGGGGGAAUAGACAGAGAUGACCAGAGUCCAGCCUGUCUUUCCUGACUUCUGCAUUGUGGUUUGAGGCUAAAUACCCAGCUAAUAAUAAAGUUCUC